rnacentral:rRNA from 1 species
CCUACGGGUGGCAGCAGUGAGGAAUAUUGGUCAAUGGACGCAAGUCUGAACCAGCCAUGCCGCGUGCAGGAAGACGGCUCUAUGAGUUGUAAACUGCUUUUGUACGAGGGUAAACGCAGAUACGCGUAUCUGUCUGAAAGUACCUUACGAAUAAGGAUCGGCUAACUCCGUGCCAGCAGCCGCGGUAAUACGGAGGAUUCAAGCGUUAUCCGGAUUUAUUGGGUUUAAAGGGUGCGUAGGCGGUCGGUUAAGUUAGUGGUGAAAUCCCGAGGCUCAACCUCGGAAUUGCCUCUGAUACUGGUAGGCUAGAGAGUAGUUGCGGUAGGCGGAAUGUAUGGUGUAGCGGUGAAAUGCUUAGAGAUCAUACAGAACACCGAUUGCGAAGGCAGCUUACCAAGCUACUACUGACGUUGAGGCACGAAAGCGUGGGGAGCAAACAGGAUUAGAUACCCGUGUAGUC